UUGCAGGCCAUACUCUGGCUGUGUGACCAGUAGGGUCCCCAGUGACAGGGUCAGCUGAGGCCUUGACUUUGUAGACCCUCAACAGGUGCCCUUUCUGCCCGCCACCCUACAGCACCCAGCACUAAGACCCAGGGUGUUCCAGGAGGGAGGAAGGAAGCCACGAGGAGGGAGGAGGAGCACAGAAGCACUGCAGGGUCCUGCCUACAAGCUCUGCCAGGACCGGCAGUGGGACUGGGUGAGACUCGUCCCUGUGCAGCGUCACUUCUAGUCUCAGAAACGUCCCGGAGAAAGACCAGCUCGUGUACCAAGAAACCAUUUCACCAGCACGACUGCGUCCCCCAGCUGGAGGAUACCACCCUCUCCAAGUGUUCACAUGAGAGAAAAAGAGAUGCUACUGCUUCCGGUGAAAUAUCAAUGGAAAAAUUAUCCUCGGGUGGGGAUAAACAACAACAACAAAAGAAUAGCACCCGCAACCACCUCCCCACCCACCCCGUGUUCUUGGGUGCAGGAAGACCCCAAUGGCUGUCCACAUCCCAGGUCCGGGUCCUGCAUUAGCCCCCACCUCCAACACAGAGCAGAUGUGGAGUGUCUGGUACCUCGGCCACGUAGCUGAUGGCAUCCUUCAAGUUGAGCUCAUGGAAAACAUUAAGAAUUCGAUCUCUUGACUUUUGGGCUGACCUUCUCAUAAGGAUUUUGCUGAGGAAUUUUCUAUCAAAAUUGGACCACCUGGGGGAUGGAACCAGACAGUGUCAGCACCUGGCAGGCUGUGGGUGAGCCCGGGGAGGAUGGGCAGGGCAUUCCCAACCUACAACCCAGACUCACUGAACAUGGUCUCCCAGAGCUGGGUGGGCACAGAAGACCCCUUUCUCUCUCCAGAGAUUUUUUUUUUUUUUUUUUUUUACUAUUUAUAGCAACCACAAAGGCGAAUUUUAAAAUAAAAGCAAUAAACCACAA